CAGUCGCCGCGGUAAUACGUAGGUGGCAAGCGUUGUCCGGAAUUAUUGGGCGUAAAGCGCGCGCAGGUGGUUUAAUAAGUCUGAUGUGAAAGCCCACGGCUCAACCGUGGAGGGUCAUUGGAAACUGUUGAACUUGAGUGCAGGAGAGAAAAGUGGAAUUCCUAGUGUAGCGGUGAAAUGCGUAGAGAUUAGGAGGAACACCAGUGGCGAAGGCGGCUUUUUGGCCCGUAACUGACACUGAGGCGCGAAAGCGUGGGGAGCAAACAGGAUUAGAUACCCGUGUAGUCCCUGUCUCUUAUAC
rnacentral:rRNA from 1 species